rnacentral:rRNA from 1 species
AUUGAACGCUGGCGGCAGGCCUAACACAUGCAAGUCGAACGAGUGGCGGACGGGUGAGUAAUGUCUGGGAAACUUCCCGAUGGAGGGGGAUAAAUACUGGAAACGCUAGCUAAUACCGCAUACCAUCGGAUGUGCCCAGAUGGGAUUAGCUAGUAGGUGGGGUAACGGCUCACCUAGGCGACGAUCCCUAGGCGUCCUGAGAGGAUGACCAGCCAGACUGGAACUGAGACACGGUCCAGACUCCUACGGGAGGCAGCAGUGGGGAAGAUUGCACAAUGGGCGCAAGCCUGAUGCAGCCAUGCCGCGUGUAUGAAGAAGGCCUUCGGGUUGUAAAGUACUUUCAGCGAGGAGGCGUUACUCGCAGAAGAAGCACCGGCUAACUCCGUGCCAGCCGCCGCGGUAAUUC